GAUCAACGCUGGCGGCGUGCCUAACGCAUGUAAGUCGAACGCAGAACCUUCGGGUCCUGAGUGGCGAACGGCUGAGGAACACGUACGAACCUGCCCGCUUGUGGGAAUAACCCACCGAAAGGUGUGCUAAUACCGCGUACGCUCACAUGGCAACAUGUGAGGAAAGUCGCAAGACGCUGGCGGAGGGGCGUGCGGCCCAUCAGGUUGUUGGUGGGGUAACGGCCUACCAAGCCCACGACGGGUAGCUGGUCUGUGAGGACGAUCAGCCCAGACUGGGACUGCGAAACGGCCCAGACACCUACGGGUGGCAGCAGCGAGGAAUCUUCCACAAUGGGCGC
rnacentral:rRNA from 1 species